CCACUACAACUACAGCACCAACCACAACCACAACUGCAGCACCAACCACUACAACUACAGCUACCACUACAACUGCAGCACAAAGCACUACAACCCCUAGAGAAGGGUUAACCACCAUUCAAAUUCCAACAGGCCCACAAGCACUUGCACAUCUAAAGAUUAGGAUGACUACAUACGGACAGGUUAGCAAUGCAACCAUCAUUGCCCUUCUUGAACAGUUUCUUAACACCCAGGUCCUGAAUGGAAUACCCCACAUUCUCUCUGUGACAAACAUUAAAAAAGUUGGAGCAUAAAAAUUGAAUGUGGACAGAAGUCAAAAAUGAAAAUAUGAAGACAAGAGUUUAACAGUGGGUUAGUAGAUUUGUUUCAACAUGAUCCGGAGCGGCAGUUUGCCUCAGUCGGUUCAUCAUAUCCUGAAUGAUGAGUACACUGGUGUGAGAAGGAGACAUCAGCUGUGCUGCAGUGGUCGACAACCAGAUGGACUUGGAUUGCUCUGUGAAUGUAUGAAACCUAAACCUGGGUGAAAGCAGAUUAGAUUUAAAUAUCAAUCCCCUUACAUGAUCAUUUGUGAAAUUAAAUCAAACUGCAGAAACACAAUGCUGUAGUUCCCAUGAAUUAGAAAUGCGCUUUUGGUUUAUCAUCUUGCAAACUACAAUAGGCAUCUCAAA